AUGCUGAUAAAACUCUGCCUUCUCAUCACUGCUUGCACAUGUGUCAGUGGUGUAAUAGUGGUGACCCAGAAUCCUCCAGUCCUCACGCUGAGUAAAGGACAGACGGCCACGCUGGACUGUAAUCUGGACACCGUCACAGAUAGUGGUGCUCGAUGGUAUAAACAGAUUCAUGGAGGAGUUCCACAGUUUGUCUUAGUUUUCUACCAUCCAAACAGUUCUCCUACAUAUGGAUCCGGCUACUCCUCUCCUAAAUUCAACUCAAAUCACAAAACUAAAUCAGAUUAUAGUCUGAUCAUCAGUAAUGUGGAUGUGGAUGAUUCUGCAGUGUAUUACUGUUACACAUGGGACAGCUCUGCUAAAGAGUACGUAUCACAGUGA